UACGUAGGGUGCAAGCGUUGUCCGGAAUUAUUGGGCGUAAAGAGCUCGUAGGCGGUUUGUCGCGUCUGCUGUGAAAACUCGGGGCUUAACUCCGGGCCUGCAGUGGGUACGGGCAGACUAGAGUGCGGUAGGGGAGACUGGAAUCCUGGUGUAGCGGUGAAAUGCGCAGAUAUCAGGAGGAACACCGGUGGCGAAGGCGGGCUCUGGGCCGUAACGACGCUGAGGAGCGAAAGCGUGGGGGAGCGAACAGG
rnacentral:rRNA from 1 species